rnacentral:rRNA from 1 species
GACGAACGCUGGCGGCGUGCUUAACACAUGCAAGUCGAACGGAAAGGCCCUGCUUUUGUGGGGUGCUCGAGUGGCGAACGGGUGAGUAACACGUGAGUAACCUGCCCUUGACUUUGGGAUAACUUCAGGAAACUGGGGCUAAUACCGUAUAGGAGCUCCUGCUGCAUGGUGGGGGUUGGAAAGUUUCGGCGGUUGGGGAUGGACGCGCGGCUUAUCAGCUUGUUGGUGGGGUAGUGGCUUACCAAGGCUUUGACGGGUAGCCGGCCUGAGAGGGUGACCGGCGACAUUGGGACUGAGAUACGGCCCAGACUCCUACGGGAGGCAGCAGUGGGGAAUAUUGCACAAUGGGCGGAAGCCUGAUGCAGCAACGCCGCGUGCGGGAUGACGGCCUUCGGGUUGUAAACAGCUUUCGCCUGUGACGAAGCGUGAGUGACGGUAAUGGGUAAAGAAGCACCGGCUAACUACGUG